GCGGCGGGAAGGGGCUCCAAGGAGCAAAGAAGUUCCUUACUGUGAGGCUGCCAUGGCAGACGUUUUCUUUGGAAUAUACAAGUGGUGUUCCAGGUAUCCUGUCAGGUCUUCAACAGUCACAUCAUCGACAUAGGUGGGAGCCUCCUCAGAAUAGGAUGUGGGAGAAGUCCACGAGGCUGUUUCACAGAGGGGUCUGUUAAGCGUGGAUAAGGAGAAACAAGCUGAGGUUUGGCUGUUGUGUGAGUCAGAGUGGAAGGAUGAGGGCAGAGCGAGGCAGUUCUCCCGUGACAGAGCGCAGUGUCUCCUGGUGGAGGCAGAAAUCCCCACCGUGCUCAGUGCUGUUCCCUGCCACCACGUCAG
rnacentral:lncRNA from 1 species